AGAGCGAACGCUGGCGGCAGGCCUAACACAUGCAAGUCGAGCGCCCGUAGCAAUACGGGAGCGGCAGACGGGAUAGUAACACGUGGGAACGCGCCCUUCGGUUCGGAAUAACUCAGGGAAACUUGAGCUAAUACCGAAUACGCCCUUACGGGGAAAGAUUUAUUGCCGAAGGAACGGCCCGCGUCCGAUUAGCUAGUUGGUGAGGUAAUGGCUCACCAAGGCUACGAUCGGUAGCUGGUCUGAGAGGAUGACCAGCAUCACUGGGACUGAGACACGGCCCAGACUCCUACGGGAGGCAGCAGUGGGGAAUAUUGGACAAUGGGCGCAAGCCUGAUCCAGCCAUGCCGCGUGGAUGAUGAAGGCCUUAGGGUGUAAAGUCCUUUAACGGGAAGAUAAUGACGGUACCGUAGAAUAAGCCCGGCUAACUUCGUGCCAGCAGCCGC
rnacentral:rRNA from 1 species